CGAUGGGUAGCUCAUUGGAGAGCAUCAGGCCCUUAACCUGAAAGUUGCGGGUUCGAAUCCCGUCCACACGGCCA
rnacentral:tRNA from 1 species